GUUUGUACUUUUCCACAGCUUUCUUGAACUGCAUGAUCAGUAUCCUGCUAACAAGCUACCUAGCGUAACAAAGUGGGGCUAUGCAUGGCUACUGCGGUUCAAUAAAGCUGUGGGAAGAUACGGAUA
rnacentral:pre_miRNA from 1 species